rnacentral:rRNA from 1 species
GAUGAACGCUGGCGGCGUGCCUAAUACAUGCAAGUCGAGCGAACAGACGAGGAGCUUGCUCCUCUGACGUUAGCGGCGGACGGGUGAGUAACACGUGGAUAACCUACCUAUAAGACUGGGAUAACUUCGGGAAACCGGAGCUAAUACCGGAUAAUAUACUGAACCGCAUGGUUCAAUAGUGAAAGACGGUUUUGCUGUCACUUAUAGAUGGAUCCGCGCCGCAUUAACUAGUUGGUAAGGCAACGGCUUACCAAGGCAACGAUGCGUAGCCGACCUGAGAGGGUGAUCGGCCACACUGGAACUGAGACACGGUCCAGACUCCUACGGGAGGCAGCAGUAGGGAAUCUUCCGCAAUGGGCGAAAGCCUGACGGAGCAACGCCGCGUGAGUGAUGAAGGUCUUCGGAUCGUAAAACUCUGUUAUUAAGGAAGAACAAAUGUGUAAGUAACUAUGCACGUCUUGACGGUACCUAAUCAGAAAGCCACGGCUAACUACGUG